UACGGAGGGGUUAGCGUUGUUCGGAAUUACUGGGCGUAAAGCGCACGUAGGCGGAUCAGAAAGUUGGGGUGAAUCCGGGCUCAACCCGGAACUGCCUCCAAAACUCCUGGUCUUGAGUUCGAGAGAGGUGAGUGGAAUUCCGAGUGUAGAGGUGAAAUUCGUAGAUAUUCGGAGGAACACCAGUGGCGAAGGCGGCUCACUGGCUCGAUACUGACGCUGAGGUGCGAAAGUGUGGGAGCAAAACAGGAUUAGAUACCCGGUAGUCC
rnacentral:rRNA from 1 species